rnacentral:rRNA from 1 species
UACGGAGGGUGCGAGCGUUGUCCGGAAUCACUGGGCGUAAAGGGCGCGUAGGCGGCAUGCCAAGCGUGUGGUGAAAGCCCGGGGCUCAACCCCGGGUCGGCCGUGCGGACUGGCAUGCUCGAGCACUGUAGGGGCGGGUGGAAUUCCGGGUGUAGCGGUGGAAUGCGUAGAUAUCAGGAGGAACACCGAUGGCGAAGGCAGGUCUCUGGGCCACUACUGACGCUGAGAAGCGAAAGCAUGGGGAGCGAACAGG